GUCCUAGCCGUAAACAAUGGAUACUAGAUGUUGAACAGAUCGACCUGUGCAGUAUUAAAGCUAACGCGUUAAGUAUCCCGCCUGGGAAGUAUGCUCGCAAGAGUGAAACUCAAAGGAAUUGACGGGGCCCGCACAAGCGGUGGAGCAUGUGGUUUAAUUCGAUGCAACGCGAAGAACCUUACCAGGGUUUGACAUGAUACGAAUUUCUUUGAAAGAAGAAAGUGCCGUUUGGAACGUAUACACAGGUGGUGCAUGGCUAUCGU
rnacentral:rRNA from 1 species